CCUACGGUAGGCAGCAGUGAGGAAUAUUGGUCAAUGGGCGCGAGCCUGAACCAGCCAAGUAGCGUGAAGGAUGACUGCCCUACGGGUUGUACACUUCUUUUAUAAAGGAAUAAAGUGAGGCACGUGUGCCUUUUUUUAUGUACUUUAUGAAUAAGGAUCGGCUAACUCCGUGCCAGCAGCCGCGGUAAUACGGAGGAUCCGAGCGUUAUCCGGAUUUAUUGGGUUUAAAGGGAGCGUAGAUGGGGUGGUAAGUCAGUUGUGAAAGUUUGCGGCUUAACCGUAAAAUUGCAAUUGAUACUGGCAGUCUUGAGUACAGUGGAGGUAGGCGGAAUUCGUGGUGUAGCGGUGAAAUGCUUAGAUAUCACGAAGAACUCAGAUUGCGAAGGCAGCUUACUAAACUGCCACUGACAUUGAUGCUCGAAAGUGUGGGUAUCAAACAGGAUUAGAUACCCUUGUAGGC
rnacentral:rRNA from 1 species